AACCCGCAAGGGAGGCAGGCCCCCAAGGAGUGGCUGGUAACUGGGGUGAAGUCGUAACAAGGUAGCCGUAGGGGAACCUGCGGCUGGAUCACCUCCUUU
rnacentral:rRNA from 1 species